GAUGAACGCUGGCGGCGUGCCUAAUACAUGCAAGUCGAGCGAACGGACGAGAAGCUUGCUUCUCUGAUGUUAGCGGCGGACGGGUGAGUAACACGUGGAUAACCUACCUAUAAGACUGGGAUAACUUCGGGAAACCGGAGCUAAUACCGGAUAAUAUUUUGAACCGCAUGGUUCAAAAGUGAAAGGCGGUCUUGCUGUCACUUAUAGAUGGAUCCGCGCUGCACUAGCUAGUUGGUAAGGUAACGGCUUACCAAGGCAACGAUGCAUAGCCGACCUGAGAGGGUGAUCGGCCACACUGGAACUGAGACACGGUCCAGACUCCUACGGGAGGCAGCAGUAGGGAAUCUUCCGCAAUGGGCGAAAGCCUGACGGAGCAACGCCGCGUGAGUGAUGAAGGUCUUCGGAUCGUAAAACUCUGUUAUUAGGGAAGAACAUAUGUGUAAGUAACUGUGCACAUCUUGACGGUACCUAAUCAGAAAGCCACGGCUAACUACGUG
rnacentral:rRNA from 1 species